rnacentral:tRNA from 2 species
UUCUGGUUAGCUCAUUUGGUAGAGCGCUCCACUGGAAAUGGAAAGGCACCUGGUUCGGUACUAGGACCAUGUG